rnacentral:rRNA from 1 species
UACGUAGGGUGCGAGCGUUAAUCGGAAUUACUGGGCGUAAAGCGUGCGUAGGCGGUUGGCAAAGUCAGCUGUGAAAGCCCCGGGCUUAACCUGGGAACUGCGUUUGAAACUGGGAGACUCGAGUGUGGCAGGAGGGGGGUGGAAUUCCGACGUGUAGCAGUGAAAUGCGUAGAUAUGAUGGAGGAACACCGGUGGCGAAGGCGGCCCCCUGGACCGGUACGUGACGCCUGAUGCGCGAAAGCGUGGGUAGCAAACGGGAUUAAGAAACCCCGGUGAGCCAGAACCGAAGUCACAUCGGCUACCCGUA